CUCCAGCCUGGGCGACAGAGUGAGAUUCCAUCUCAGAAAGAACAAAAACCCUCUCUUUCCUUGACCUUUUCUGGGCUGUGUUGGCAAACAGCUCUAGCAAACUCCCUAACCAGCUCAGGGUCUGAGCUGGACACGUGCGGGCUAGAUCAGUGAAGCCUCAGUUUUGUUUUUUUUUGAUAUGCUAUGCCCUGGCUUUUUGGCUGCUAGCUCAGACUCCCUUCAGUGCUGUCAUCAUUAACUCCUGUAAGAACUCCGCAGGAUGGAUGGGCAUCAAAGCCCCUGCUUCUGCUCAACCAGGGGCAGUGUCUGCUGAAGUCUUGAGAUGGAGAGAGCCUUGAAUUCUGUCCAUGGCUUGUGUUUAUCGUCUCACACCAACUCCAGCCCUGAUGUUCACCAUGGCCGUGGCUUUGGUCCUGGUCAUUGCAGGAAGUUUCAGUAC
rnacentral:lncRNA from 1 species